rnacentral:lncRNA from 1 species
UUAAAUUAUGUGACUUACAAUUUUGGAAAGCAACGUUUAACUGAUUUUGAGUUUACUUAAUAUUUUUAUCUUGUUUACUUUCCAGGGGGUGCAAGUGCUCAGGUCCUAUUACAUACACAACAGCAUAUCAGUUUAUGCCUCAAAUAUAAAGCGAAGAGAAAAUCAAUCAACUCGAGGUCAUACAUUUUGCAUCAAGAAACUGGGUCCUACACUGACCACCCUUGGUAUUUUCGAGUAAAUCUCGUGCACACUUGUUUCUGUGCAUCUGUGUGUGUUAAAUCUUCGCGUUUACAAUUUUUGUACAUAUGCUCUAAUAGAUCAAAAGAUAUAUAUAAGGACCCUGACCCUGUCAAGAAUGAGGAGAUGUCCCCUAUUUCUAUUUAUGGACGAGACAUCUAUAUUUCGUGAUCCAUCAAGACAGGAAGAAAUUGAUUUCUAC